CCUACGGGGGGCAGCAGUGAGGAAUAUUGGUCAAUGGACGAGAGUCUGAACCAGCCAAGUAGCGUGAAGGAUGACUGCCCUAUGGGUUGUAAACUUCUUUUAUAUGGGAAUAAAAUGUUCCACGUGUGGGAUUUUGUAUGUACCAUAUGAAUAAGGAUCGGCUAACUCCGUGCCAGCAGCCGCGGUAAUACGGAGGAUUCGAGCGUUAUCCGGAUUUAUUGGGUUUAAAGGGAGCGUAGGUGGAUUGUUAAGUCAGUUGUGAAAGUUUGCGGCUCAACCGUAAAAUUGCAGUUGAAACUGGCAGUCUUGAGUACAGUAGAGGUGGGCGGAAUUCGUGGUGUAGCGGUGAAAUGCUUAGAUAUCACGAAGAACUCCGAUUGCGAAGGCAGUUCACUGGACUGCAACUGACACUGAGGCUCGAAAGUGUGGGUAUCAAACAGGAUUAGAUACCCGAGUAGUC
rnacentral:rRNA from 1 species